rnacentral:rRNA from 1 species
UACGUAGGGUGCAAGCGUUAAUCGGAAUUACUGGGCGUAAAGCGUGCGCAGGCGGUUUUUGUAAGUCUGUCGUGAAAUCCCCGGGCUUAACCUGGGAAUUGCGAUGGAGACUGCAAGGCUAGAAUCUGGCAGAGGGGGGUAGAAUUCCACGUGUGAGCAGUGAAAAUGCGUAGAGAUGCGGAGGAACACCGAUGGCGAAGGCAGCCCCCCUGGGCUAACACUGACGCUGAGGCCACGAAAGCGUGGGGAGCAAACAGGGA